rnacentral:misc_RNA from 1 species
GCAAACUUGGUCAUUUAGAGGAAGUAAAAGUCGUAACAAGGUCUCCGUUGGUGAACCAGCGGAGGGAUCAUUACAGAGUUGCAAAGCUCAAACCAUUGUGAACGUUACCUCUACCGUUGCUUCGGCGGGCGGCCUGGGUCUCCGGACCCGGCGCCCCUGGGCCCCGCCUCGCGGGGCGCCCGCCGGAGGUAAACCAAACUCUUGAAUUGUAUGGCCUCUCUGAGUCUUCUGUACUGAAUAAGUCAAAACUUUCAACAACGGAUCUCUUGGUUCUGGCAUCGAUGAAGAACGCAGC